UUAAAUAUCAUCCUCGAUUAUGAUUUGGAAACUGUGGUUGGAGAUGACAAAAAAGCAUAUCUCUCCUUGAAAUCCUACAAACAGAAAAACGAAGCAACAUCUCCAAUUUCUUUCGACUUCAAAAACCUUUUUAAUGGACAAAAGGAUCUGGCGGACAAUGUCCUCACAUUUGCUAACCAGAACUGGAAGCAGGUCUCCGAUAUGCUGCUGGAACCUAUUUGGAACAACAACAUGAAGAAAAUCAUUUCUAACGCCAACAAAUACUUAAUGACUGAACCCCUUGAUCAAAUGUUCAUAUCACCUUAGGUUGUUAAAGUAAAAA